GCAGAGUUUAUAAGAUUAAACUAAAUGCUUGCAAAUAUCAAUAAUGGAUUAACAUACCCUCUUAAACAUGUCAUCAUGUCAGUCUCUCUGUCAUUUUAAGAUGGAGCGUCUAUCUCCAAAUCUCUCCUAUGUCUGUCCCUUAACAUUUAAAAGUACACCCAGGGGCGUAUUAGCCGUGAGGCAAACAAGGCAUUUGCCUUGGGCGGCAUUUUCCAGGGGGCGGCAAAAAAUGCCGCCCCCCAAAUGCCCAGGGCAAAUGCCUUGUUAGCCUCGCGGCUAACAGGCAUGCCGGGCGGGCGGGCGGCGAGGGAGCUCUUCCCUUGAGCGGUCUGCUCAGC